GGUGGGCGUGUACAUGGGCGAGUAAAGUCAGUUCAAACUGUUAGAGGUUCAGUCUUCACACUCCUCACGCGUCUAGUUCACUCGCGUCCGUGAUACAUCAUCAGCGCACCUUAACGCAGGUGACGGGACACCCGGAAGAACACGCGCAUCGACUAUCACACGAGUCACUUGAGUUUCAAUCAACCCCAGAAGAGCCGAGCAGAUCACAGUCAUGUCAGAGCUCAAGAAGAACAAGUUGUUUAUGGUGCUGAUGGAUGUCGUGUGUGUGCUCGUGGAAUGCAUGAAACAAAACCACAGACCACAUGACAGACGGAACGAGGGAUCAGAAGAGAGCAGGAGAGAUGUGGGUGGUGAUAUUUGGAGAUGAGGGAAAGAAAGAAAGAAAGAAAGAAA